rnacentral:tRNA from 3 species
GGGGAUGUGGCGGAAUGGUAGACGCUACGGACUUAAACUCCGUUGGUUUUAAUAGACCGUGAGGGUUCAAGUCCCUCCAUCCCCA